GCAGAGGUAGCUAAGCCCGGUUUAAGGCGCCGGCCUUGAGAGCCGGUGGCGCUUUGCGCCGCGGGAGUUCGAAUGGUUCGGACUGCGUCCUCCCAUUUUCAAUGCAGUCCUGCCUUGAAAAUCUCCCCCUCUGCG
rnacentral:tRNA from 1 species